rnacentral:rRNA from 1 species
CUACGGGUGGCAGCAGUGGGGAAUAUUGCACAAUGGAGGAAACUCUGAUGCAGCAACGCCGCGUGGAGGAUGACACUUUUCGGAGCGUAAAUUCCUUUUAUAUAGGAAGAAGAUGACGGUACUAUAUGAAUAAGCGCCGGCUAACUCCGUGCCAGCAGCCGCGGUAAUACGGAGGGCGCAAGCGUUACUCGGAAUCACUGGGCGUAAAGAGCGGGUAGGCGGAUAGAUAAGUCAGGAGUGAAAUCCUAUGGCUCAACCAUAGAACUGCUCUUGAAACUGUCAAUCUAGAGUGUGGGAGAGGUAGAUGGAAUUUCUGGUGUAGGGGUAAAAUCCGUAGAGAUCAGAAGGAAUACCGAUUGCGAAGGCGAUCUACUGGAACAUAACUGACGCUGAGACGCGAAAGCGUGGGGAGCAAACAGGAUUAGAUACCCCCGUAGUC